UGAUGAUAGUGAGGAUGAGUGGCCACUUACCCGGGAAGAGCUCAUCAAGCAAAUAAAGGACGAGAUGCAUAAGGAGAGAAUUGCAGUUGAGAAGGCAGAGGCCAAAGCUUCAGAGGCCGCUCCUCAAGAGCAGAAGCAAAUGAGGGAUGAUCAUGGGAGUAUUGUAGCCAGGGGAGAAAAGCACAAAUGUCCAAAGAACGUUGCUCAAUGGCACCUGCAAGUAAAGGAAGAGGAGUGGGCUGCAGAGACAGGGACCUUUGCUGAAGGAAAGCAGACAAAGAAGAAGAAGCAGAUGAAGCACUGAUCUGAUACUGGUCCAAGUACAAGUUGAGAGCGCUACAUGGGUCCUGAGAUCCAAUCACUCAGCCUAUCCUGAUUCAUGACUCCCAACUCGACUAUAUGUGGCGACGCCGAGACUCCACUUCAUCCCACUGUGCAGAACUGAAGACAAAAUAUCACAGAUACAAACGCUGCCAUCCUGUGCCAAUCACUUAAGGAAUUUAAGCAUUUUUGGAGAAAUGAAAACCUAAUUAAAAC